rnacentral:rRNA from 1 species
CCUACGGGCGGCAGCAGUGAGGAAUAUUGGUCAAUGGUCGCAAGCCUGAACCAGCCAAGUCGCGUGAGGGAUGACGGUCCUAUGGAUUGUAAACCUCUUUUGUCGGGGAACAAAGCCUGGCACGCGUCCCCGGAUGGAUGUACCUCGAGAAAAAGGCUCGGCUAACUCCGGGCCCGCAGCCGCGGUAAUUAGGAGGAUUCGGGCGUUAACCGGAUUUAUUGGGUUUAAAGGGGUCGUAGGCGGGAGGUUAAGUCAGCGGUCAAAGUUCGGGGCUCAACCCCGGCCUGCCGUUGAAACUUGGAUUCUCGAGUGAGCGAGAAGUAUGCGGAAUGCGUGGUGUAGCGGUGAAAUGCAUAGAUAUCACGCAGAACUCCGAUUGCGAAGGCAGCAUACCGGCCCUCAACUGACGCUGAGGCACGAAAGCGUGGGGAUCGAACAGGAUUAGAUACCCGAGUAGUC